UGGCUCAUAUUGUCACCAAGUCGCUACCAAUCACUUUACCUGCCAAAAUGGUAUCAACAAGCCUAGGCACUAUAUCACCCGCUUUGCCUGUAAGGUGAUAUUGAAAUUGACUGUGUCUAUCGGAAGCCAUUAAAUUCACUUCAACCGUCUGAGCACCAUGAUGAUUUGCGCUAUCCACAAACCCUGCUGCGGGAUAGACUGUGCCAGAGGUUCCUAUUGCAAUAAACAGAUCGCAACUAUCAAGCGCAUCAUGAAUUCGAUCCAUUCCUAAUGGCAUUUCACCAAACCAGACCACGUGGGGACGUAAACGCUGAGCGGGAAUACAGCAGGUACAGCAAUUAUCAGGACCAAAUGGCUCACGCAAAAGAAAGGUUUGACGCGAACGCGGGCACCGACCUUUAGACAAUUCGCCAUGCAUAUGCAACAACCGGCGGGAGCCUGCUCGCUCAUGCAAAUCAUCAAUAUUCUGCGUUACUAUCAAUAAUUGCCCUACAAACUGCGCUUCUAGUUUUGCUAAAGCCUGAUGUGCGGGGUUUGGAGCCACUGCCCCACUAUGCAAUUGUUGCCAACGGCUAUUAUAAAAUCGUUCCACUAACUCAGCAUCACGCUCAUAGCCUUCAGGCGUCGCGACAUCUUCAAUAUGAUGCUCUUCCCAUAAACCAUCUUGAUCGCGAAAGGUACGUAAUCCCGAUUCAGCAGAGAUCCCCGCGCCAGUUAAUACCACUAUAUGUUGGUACAUGCCGAUUCCUUUUAUUCUCUUUAUUAUUCUUAUUGUCACGGACUUUUAUGGUCGUGAACAUUAUUCCUUGGUAUAACCUUACAAAAACUAUGCUUGAAUUGUCGCAAUUUAUUGUAAUUUCGCGCCAAUUAACACAAUUUAUCUGCAUAUAAGACCAGAAAGCUAGAACAAAGGUUUAAGUUUUCAAUUUCACCCCCUAUAAUGACAAGCUCUAUCCACGGAUGAACCUAUUGGUUCUGCAAUCAAGAGAUUAGCAAUGACAGAUGGAAAUCAAGCGCUAAAAAAAGCGGGUUUGAAAAUUACCCUGCCACGAGUCAAGAUCCUAGAACUGAUGCAAGGACCUGAAAAUCAACAUAUCAGUGCAGAAGACUUAUACAAGAAACUGCUCGAUAUUGGUGAAGAAAUUGGUCUUGCUACAGUCUACCGUGUGUUAAACCAAUUUGAUGAUGCCGGCAUCGUCAGUCGUCAUCAUUUUGAAAGCGGUAAAGCCGUAUUUGAAUUGUCGACUCAGCACCACCAUGAUCACUUAGUUUGCCUAUCCUGUGGCAAAGUGAUUGAGUUUUCAGAUGAAGUUAUCGAACGUCGUCAAGAUGAAAUAGCCAUGAAGCAUAAUAUUAAGCUAACUAAUCACAGCUUAUAUCUCUAUGGCCAUUGCACUAAUGACAACUGCGAUCACAACGACGAGUAGUCAACCGUCUUUAGCCACAGUCUCUAGACUGCAGGGUGUUAAACACACGAAAUCUAAAAACCAGCCGUCGGCUGGUUUUUUAUUUAGAGUGAUAAUUAUAAUGUUCUGGCGUAAAUAUUGACCCUAUGCCCCAUAAAUUCACUGUACUCCCGCCAAGACAUACCAAUGCGUUUAGCCACAGCUUCAGAGGCCACGUUUCCCUCUAAAAUUAAUGCUAUCGUUUUAUCAAUCCCAAAUUGUGGAAAUACCUUUAGUGCAGCCUGUGCCGCUUCACUGCCAAUUCCCAUUCCCCAAUACUCAGGAAAAUAACGAUAACCAAUUUCAACUUCGUUAAACUCUGGAAUAAACUUCGGCCCACAAAAACCAAUCACUUUAUUAUCGGCCUUGUGCUCAACGGCCCAACGGCCAAAUCCGUGUUGUUGGUAAUCUGCUUGGAUCACAUUAUGAAAUAAUACUUCGGCCUGCUCACGGGAAGUAAAAGCCGCUGUGGGAAUGUAUUUCAGCAUGGCAGGAUUACUAUUCAUCAAAUACAGCGCCUCAAUAUCUUGCUCUGUAAAUGGCCUAAUAAUUAAGCGUUCGGUCUGCGUUAUCAUCUCAACUCCCUAUACCACUGCUGAAAAUAAGGCGUAAAGUAACACACUUACUUUACGCCAAUUGAUUAGCGGUGAAAAUCGCCACUACGCUCUGGUUGAUAUACAAUCUCUUCAAUACGAACCUUAACCAUAGUGCCGCCAGGACCUGGCCAUUCAAUAUCAUCACCUUGUGAUAAUCCAAGCAAUGCGCUGCCUACCGGGGCAAGAAUGGAAAUAGUUCCUUCGCCAUUAGCAUCCUUGGGAUACACUAACCGUAGACAAAAAGUAUCGUUACUGGAUGAAACACUAAAUUUAACCAACGAGUUCAUUGUAACGACAUUGUCAGGCAUUUCGGUCGCGGGGACCAUCUCAGCUCUAUCAAGUUCAGCCUCUAAUGCCGUUUUCCCUGGAAAUGCAUUCGCUGGUAGUGACUCUAAUAAUCGUUCUAAUCUUUCCAAAUCGAUUUCAGAAAUAAUAAUGUUAGGUGUAUUCACAGUCUUUCCCUCAUUAAAAAACCUGAUGUAGUAGCCCAUAGCGGUGACAAACAUCAAACCAUUGCUUACCCUUUCCUUGCGAUAAGCGCCAUAAAAAAUAACUACGCUUACAGCACUAAGCUGCAAUCGUGUCGUAUAAAAAAGUUAAGAUUGGUUGCUGAAACAGCAUUGAUGCCAUAAACACUAAGCUUACGGUUAUAGGCUCAACUAGGACUCAUUCGCGCCAAGAGACAAGCUGCCAAUAUCCUAGAGUAUACUUUAAUCUAACCCGUUAAAGAUAAAAUAUCUAGUCUUCAUGGUGUUAGCUCAAUCCCAUUCCCAUCAUUUGCUGGGUUUCAUCACGUAAAUGACCGCCAAUAAAAAAGGCGCCUUAGGCGCCUUUUAGUGUUUAA
rnacentral:rRNA from 1 species